rnacentral:rRNA from 1 species
UACGUAGGGUGCAAGCGUUAAUCGGAAUUACUGGGCGUAAAGCGUGCGCAGGCGGUGAUGUAAGACAGUUGUGAAAUCCCCGGGCUCAACCUGGGAACUGCAUCUGUGACUGCAUCGCUGGAGUGCGGCAGAGGGGGAUGGAAUUCCGCGUGUAGCAGUGAAAUGCGUAGAUAUGCGGAGGAACACCGAUGGCGAAGGCAAUCCCCUGGGCCUGCACUGACGCUCAUGCACGAAAGCGUGGGGAUCAAACAGG